GACAUUUAAGACUAGCACCAGAAACAUGAAUUCCCUAAUGACAUGUCAUUUGUAUUCUACGAAUUCCUAAGGUUCAACCGGGACUCAAUAACCGUCAUAGCAUUGUCUUGGAUAUACAUUAGUUAAUUUCAUGGCAAUUAACACAUUAACAUAUAAAUUGAUAUAGCUUUAAAAUGAUAUUUAUUCAUACGAACUUACCUCGAUGACUAG
rnacentral:lncRNA from 1 species